UACGGAGGGUGCAAACGUUGCUCGGAAUCAUUGGGCGUAAAGCGCACGUAGGCGGCCUGUUAAGUCGGUGUGAAUACCCUCGGGCUCAACCCAGGAAGGUGCACUCGAAACUGGCAGGCUUGAGUACUGAAGAGGGUCGCGGAAGUUCCCGGUCGUAGAGGUGGAAAUUCGUAGAUAUCGGGAGGAACACCAGGUGGCGAAGGCGGCGACCUGGGCAGAUACUGACGCUGAGGUGCGAAAGCGUGGGGAGCAAACAGG
rnacentral:rRNA from 1 species